UACAGAGGGGGCAAGCGUUAUUCGGAAUUAUUGGGCGUAAAGGGUGCGUAGGCGGCGCGGUAAGUCGGGUGUGAAAUCUCGGAGCUUAACUCCGAAACUGCAUUCGAUACUGCCGUGCUUGAGGACUGGAGAGGAGACUGGAAUUUACGGUGUAGCGGUGAAAUGCGUAGAUAUCGUAAGGAAGACCAGUGGCGGAAGGCGGGUCUCUGGACAGUUCCUGACGCUGAGGCACGAAGGUCAGGGGAGCAAACGGG
rnacentral:rRNA from 1 species